rnacentral:lncRNA from 1 species
CUCUGUUCCUGCCAUGAACUUAAAUCAGAUUCUGAACUCAUUGAUUUGUUUUCUUCAUCUCCCACCACUCUCCCUAGUUGUGGACCCUAUACCAUACAGGUCGCGGCAGAUGGGAGAGUCAGGUGGUCCAACUCACGAUGGCUCACUUUACAACGUGUGCUGUAGUGAACUUUGCUGUGAAAUGACUGCUUAACCCACAGACUCAAUUGUUGAAGCUUUCCUUCAGAGACAAUGGACUUCUGUUUCUGCUUCUGCCAGUACCACCUUCAUCACCUCCACCAUAGCUGAGUCCCUUCAGUGGGACUGGGUCAUCAGAGGACCCGAUCUGAGCUACCGCACAUGGAAUCUCCACAUUCGCUCCUCUGAUCUUCACCUGGCACAAGGGCAACACCUUCCUAGGAUGGCAUCAGGCCCUUUUCACAGUCUCAGUCAGACCAGAUGUUCUGGGCUUGGCUUCCUCACCUGACCACUAGGUUCAAUCUCCUGCCCACAGCCUGACUACUGACAUCUGCUGGCAGGAAACCCACCCUGAUCUCUACUGCUUCUUAUAAGACCAGAGGUGGAUUUAAAAAGGGGUGUCCUAGAGCACCGGACUGCUGGAAAAGGGAAUCAGCCUUGGUUUGUCUGUGGUGAGUCGGUUAAGCAAAACGUGUAUUUCCAAAUCCUCUCCCUUCUAUGGUUGUGGGUUUGAUUGCCCAAAGAGAACUUGGGUGAAAUUAAAAAGCAGAAGU